AUUUGUGGAUGGUCGAUUGAAUUGAGGAGCUUUCGAAUCCAGCAAUAUUUGUAGGAAUAUGUUUGGUGUUAGAGCACCUUUCGCACCAUCACUCAUGCCUGAAGAUAUUGUACUUUGGUCCUCGAACUUCGAUUUGGAUAUGCUCGUCUCCUUUUUCCCGUUUAAUUUUUAGUGGGUUUGCAGAAGCCUUGGCUCUGAUACCAUGAAGGUUAACACGAACAAUAUAGGCAGCCAAAUAUUUGGUGUAAGAAUACCUUUUUUUUUUGUAUAUAUUUAACAUAGUACAACCCUACACUAUAUAUACAAAGUUUAUUUCCAUUUGUAUUCACAAUCCUAGCCAUAAUUAGUAGACACACCAUAAGGAAUAAAAUAUCAAUCAAAUAUUCUUAUAUUAAUUGAAUAUAUUAUUUCCUUUUCUACAGAUGAUCUUUGUAUAAUGGUAGCUCAGUUCAGUUGUACUAAUUCAUGCACUCGAUGGUUUCUAUUGUUUUUGCUGCUCCAAACUAAGAAUAGUAAUCAUCAUCUCUCGCUGUUCUUUUAUGAAGAUUUAUUUGAUAUAGUUAGCUACUAUUGUCUUUCUUAAUCAAGCCAGCUACAAACUUCCAAUCAUCUCAUGUUUAAUUUUUCUGUAUAAGUUGUCUUCUUUUGGCGGCUCUGAUUGUUUAAGAAGCUGCAUUUUAGGUAUUCCCUUGAGCAUGAUAAUUCUAUGGAGAAAAUCUAGUUACCAAAUUCACAUGGAACACCUACUUGCUCACGGCUUCUCUGUAUAUUAUAAUUCUGUUUCGUAUGUUUAUUUCCAUUACUUUUAAAGUUUAGGAUCUAUCUUAUUUACCUCCUUGUUGAUCCUAUUCAAAAAUUACAAAUUCUUCACUAUCUGAAACAAUAUUUGAAUCAGGUUCUUAGGCUAAAGAGUGCUAUGGCUGAUAUCUAUCAGAAGCUCAAGGCCAUAAAGGACGUGCAGUCAGAUUUCCGGCAUCAAAUCUCUCUUCUUAUUCAGCCCAUGCUUCAGGCUCUGGAUGCCGCGUUUGCUCAUUACGAUGCAGAAGAACAUAAGCAUUCAGCAAAAAUGGAGCCAAACCGAAUGGUUUUGUUCAGUAACAAUGUUUUUUUUUUCAUCUGUACAUUUAAUUAAAUUUUGAUAUAAACAUAUUCUUGGAGCAACUUUAAACCGAAGAGAGGAGAGAAGACUUCACAUCGACAGUUAUGCUUCAAAUGUUUAUGGCACUUCCUGCAUCCACGGUAAUCCGGUGAAUUUUUGAAUCUGUUGGAUCACUUGCCGCUUGAUUGGUUUUCGGCCAUCAUAUUCUUUCUAGUUCCACAUUGUGCAUGCUGCUACAUGUAACCCAUGUAUCAAGAUUAUGACAAGGAAACAGUUGUGACUCUUAAUAUGCU